rnacentral:lncRNA from 1 species
GGGGAGAGGCACUUCCCAGGCGACUUCCCCAGCCCCAGCCGGUUCCAGAGCAUCAGCUACUCCCAAAGCCAGCCGGCCGAUCCCGAACCCUGGGUGACCGGCUCCGAACCCCAGCCGGCCGGUCCCGAACCCCAGGUAGACUGUCCCGAACACUGGGGAGGGUUCUCGAACUCGUGGAGGCCGGUCUCGAACCCCCGCCGGCCGGCCGCAAGCGACUCACCGACAGCCCGGAGCUUGCGUGCCUGGCGGCGAGCGACACCAGGCACACCUCGCUGUCCCGGAACGGCACGGCGCCCUCGGUUCCUUAGCGAGGCCCGCGGGGAAGGCGCCACAGCCCGGCGGCGGGAAGCACAGCCGCUCCCUCCUCGGUCGCCCAGGCCGGAGCAACCCGCUGCCGCGCCCGCCGACGGACUUCCUGGAAAGCACGGUGCUGAACUCACCUGCUGGCGUCCGGCCGCCGACCUCCUGCACAGCCCGCAAAGUUUAACUCGCUCUUCUCUGCGCCCACGCUCCGCGGCGCCUCAACUUCUGGGAGUUGCCGAAUCCCUCCUCCAGCUGCCCCCAAAACCCGACCGCGCUGUCUGUGUAGCUAGUUCCCCCGUCCCCUCCGAUGCGCUUGCGUACUCUUGGUGCAGGCUGCAUGCUGGGAGUUGUAGUUCGAGGGAGAAGGGCGCGGCUCCACACGGACCUGGUUCUUUACAAUGGGAAGGGUUUUAUAACAGGGUACAGACACCAGGAGUAAGCUGGAAAAAAAAAAAAAAAAAUGCUCUCAGCUCCUGUACAUACCUGCCCUCUGGAAUCCAGAAAGACUGUCUAGAGGGCUUUUUUGAUAACCAACUCGGGACAGAAAAGGCCGUGAGUCACUCCAGGGGAUGGUGCCCCUAACACAAAGAGAGGAGUAAAGUGGAAAAGCAGAAAUAGAUUUCAUGAAUGUGCACGCUCAGGAAAGGAACAGACAAAGAGACAAAUAAGACCACGUUUAAGGUUUAAGCAGAGGAAGAACUGGGGCAGGGAGCAAGAAGUACGUAUAAUUUAGCAACGCUAGUCAUGAUGUGUCAGCUGGUCAUUGCUUCAGUCUGUUUCUGCAAAGUGGUCCAAAGAGUCACCUUUGCCUGCGGGGACAGUAUCAUUCUCAGAAGAUGCUCCAGGGUGCAGCCUCCCUAAGGAUCGGAUGCCCUCAUCUGGGAGCUGUUCUGACCUGGGAUGCUCUGAUGUUCGUGGAAUCCAAGGUGACUCAAAUGCCUUUGAGGGGUGUUGUGGGUUAAUCUUUUUGUAUACAGUGAAAAUGUGUCUCUACCAAGGCACCUUCUGAUUGGUUUAAUUAAGAAUUGAGUGGCCAAUUGAUAGGCAGGAGAAGAUGGGCAGGACUUCAGGGCAGAAAGAUGAAGGGGGGAAGUGAUCUGAGAGGCAGGGAAUUUGCCAAGGGCUUGGGGAGUUGAACGUACAGCAUAAAGAAGAAGUAAUGAGCCACGUAACAAAAUGUAGAUUAAUAUUAAUGGGUUAAUUUAAGUUAUAAGAGCUAAAGCUAAGCUUUCAUAAUCAAUAAGAAGUCUCUGUGUCAUUUUUUGGGAGCUAGCAGUCCAAAGAAAGACCGGCUACAGGAGAGUAAUUGUAAAAGCUGACUAUAAGGUGUCUCAUUUACUUUAUUUUUAUGCCUUUAUCCUUGUUGGGGGAUGGGAUAUCACGGGUUUCUGGAUAGGCAUCCCUUGAAUGAUGAACAUGCCUACAUGCAGAGGUAACUAGGCAACCCAAAACAGGAAGGCAGACACAAAAUGAAAGCAGAGAUGCUAGGCUUUAUCCUGCUUUUAGUUAUCUUAUGGGUCCAAGUGAGGAAACAGUGCUGUUUAACAGCUUCCUGUGAGGUGGCAAUUGCCUCAUGGUCCUGGUCAGUUUCUGCUCCAUCCCAUCCUCUCAUUCCAACUUCAUGUUCCUUAUUAGUCAGUGAGAUUGGGCUAAUGUGAGUGAGAGUAAAUGACAGAAGCAACUGGUCACAGGAGGGAAAUAAAGUAGAUAGUUUAGGGAGGGGAAGAUGAAGA